rnacentral:rRNA from 1 species
UACGGGAGUGGCAAGCGUUAUCCGGAAUUAUUGGGCGUAAAGCGUCCGCAGGCGGCCCAGCAAGUCUGUUGUUAAAAAGUGGAGCUUAACUCCAUCCAGGCAAUGGAAACUGCUGGGCUAGAGUGUGGUAGGGGCAGAGGGAAUUCCCGGUGUAGCGGUGAAAUGCGUAGAUAUCGGGAAGAACACCAGUGGCGAAGGCGCUCUGCUGGGCCAUAACUGACGCUCAUGGACGAAAGCCAGGGGAGCGAAAGGG